UACGUAGGGUGCAAGCGUUAAUCGGGAUUACUGGGCGUAAAGCGUGCGCAGGCGGUUGUGUAAGACAGAUGUGAAAUCCCCGGGCUCAACCUGGGAACUGCAUUUGUGACUGCACAGCUGGAGUGCGGCAGAGGGGGAUGGAAUUCCGCGUGUAGCAGUGAAAUGCGUAGAUAUGCGGAGGAACACCGAUGGCGAAGGCAAUCCCCUGGGCCUGCACUGACGCUCAUGCACGAAAGCGUGGGGAGCAAACAGG
rnacentral:rRNA from 1 species